AAUACAGUUUCAUGUAUUGGUCUAAUGUACUGUUUGCUCGGCCGGCCGGCGGGUGGCGGCAAUCUGAAAUGGAAUGAAGCCAAUUCACGGCAGACAGCAGAAAAACAGAAGCCGAAUAAGUCCACCCACCCGACCCGGACAAACUACAAGUACACAAGCUUUGUAACAGGUUCUGGGGCAUGUCUCUAGUUGAAGUUGUAGUUUUAAAAUAUAUUUGUAUUUUUCUCAUAAGUAGAAGUUGGCAGAGUAGAAUUUUGGAUAUACCCUGUUUUUCUUUUGGGAUGGGGAACACACUGGUGUCAUCAGAUAAAAAAAAAAAAAAGAUAUGUUAAAUAAUUGAAAUAGCUUAUUACCAUAUUUGACAGUGGUUACAGUGGGUAAACAUUGGUGACCAUAUCUAUAUGACAGCUAAGAUCCAGAGCUUUCUAUAACAGCUGGUUCUAUCCCAUGAACAAGACGUA